rnacentral:rRNA from 1 species
UUGGAGGGCAAGUCUGGUGCCAGCAGCCGCGGUAACUCCAGCUCCAAUAGCGUAUAUUAAAGUUGUUGCAGUUAAAAAGCUCGUAGUUGAAUUUCGGGGUCAGUAGGUUGGUCAUGCCACUGGUAUGUACUGGUCUCACUGAUUCCUCCUUCCUGAUGAGCUGUAAUGCCAUUAAUUUGGUGUUGCGGGGAAUCUGGACUGUUACUUUGAAAAAAUUAGAGUGUUUAAAGCAGGCUAACGCCUGAAUACAUUAGCAUGGAAUAAUGAAAUAGGACGUUCGAUCCUAUUUUGUUGGUUUCUAGGAUUGACGUAAUGAUUAAUAGGGAUAGUUGGGGGCAUUAGUAUUCAAUUGUCAGAGGUGAAAUUCUUGGAUUUAUUGAAGACUAACUACUGCGAAAGCAUUUGCCAAGGAUGUUUUCAUUAAUCAAGAACGAAAGUUAGGGGAUCGAAGACGAUCAGAUACCGUCGUAGUCUUAACCAUAAACUAUGCCGACUAGGGAUCGGAUGAUGUUAAUUUUUUAAUGACUCAUUCGGCGCCUUACGGGAAAC